rnacentral:rRNA from 1 species
UACGGAGGGUGCAAGCGUUAUCCGGAUUCACUGGGUUUAAAGGGUGCGUAGGUGGGCAGGUAAGUCAGUGGUGAAAUCCCCGGGCUCAACCCGGGAACUGCGUCCGAUACUGGAAGGCUUGAAUCCGGGAGAGGGAUGUGGAAUUCCAGGUGUAGCGGUGAAAUGCGUAGAGAUCAGGCAGAACACCUGGGGCGAAGGCGGCCAGCUGGGCCGUCCCUGACGCUGAGGCGCGCAAGGCGUGGGGAGCGAACGGG